rnacentral:rRNA from 1 species
AUUGAACGCUAGCGGGAUGCUUUACACAUGCAAGUCGAACGGCAGCGCGGACUUCGGUCUGGCGGCGAGUGGCGAACGGGUGAGUAAUGUAUCGGAACGUGCCCAGUCGCGGGGGAUAACUACGCGAAAGCGUAGCUAAUACCGCAUACGCCCUACGGGGGAAAGCAGGGGAUCGUAAGACCUUGCACUAUUUGAGCGGCCGAUAUCGGAUUAGCUAGUUGGUGAGGUAACGGCUCACCAAGGCGACGAUCCGUAGCUGGUUUGAGAGGACGACCAGCCACACUGGGACUGAGACACGGCCCAGACUCCUACGGGAGGCAGCAGUGGGGAAUUUUGGACAAUGGGGGCAACCCUGAUCCAGCCAUCCCGCGUGUGCGAUGAAGGCCUUCGGGUUGUAAAGCACUUUUGGCAGGAAAGAAACGUCGCGGGCUAAUACCCCGUGGAACUGACGGUACCUGCAGAAUAAGCACCGGCUAACUACGUG